AAUAAGAUAAGCUAAUAAAGCUAAUGGGUUCAUACCCCGUAUAUGAGAGUAAAAAUCUCUCUCUUUUUA
rnacentral:tRNA from 1 species